AGAGCGGCGUACGGGUGCGGAACACGUUGUGCACCUUAGCCUUUAUCUGGGGGAUAGCCUUUCGAAAGGAAGAUUAUACCCCAUAAUAUGUUGGAUGGCAUCAUUCGACAUUGAAAACUCCGGUGGAUAGAGAUGGGCACGCGCAAGAUUAGAUAGUUGGUGAGGUAACGGCUCACCAAGUCUACGAUCUUUAGGGGGGCCUGAGAGGGUGAUCCCCCACACUGGUACUGAGACACGGACCAGACUCCUACGGGAGGCAGCAGUGAGGAAUAUUGGACAAUGGGUGAGAGCCUGAUCCAGCCAUCCCGCGUGAAGGACGACUGGCCUAUGGGUUGUAAACUUCUUUUGUAUAGGGAUAAACCUAACCUCGUGAGGGUAGCUGAAGGUACUAUACGAAUAAGCACCGGCUAACUCCGUGCCAGCAGCCGCGGUAAUACGGAGGGUGCAAGCGUUAUCCGGAUUUAUUGGGUUUAAAGGGUCCGUAGGCGGAUCUGUAAAAGUCAGUGGUGAAAUCUCACAGCUUAACUAGUGAAACUGGCAUUGAUACUAGGANGUCUUGAGUAGUAAGUUGAAGUAGCUGGAAUAAGUAGUAGUANCGGU
rnacentral:rRNA from 1 species